rnacentral:rRNA from 1 species
UAAGCGGAGGAAAAGAAACCAACAGGGAUUGCCUCAGUAACGGCGAGUGAAGCGGCAACAGCUCAAAUUUGAAAUCUGGCUCUUUCAGGGUCCGAGUUGUAAUUUGUAGAGGAUGCUUCGGCGUGCGCUCCGGUCUAAGUUCCUUGGAACAGGACGUCACAGAGGGUGAGAUCCCCGUAUGUGGCCGGUAGCGCCCGCCAUGUGAAGCUCCUUCGACGAGUCGAGUUGUUUGGGAAUGCAGCUCUAAAUGGGAGGUACAUUUCUUCUAAAGCUAAAUACCGGCCAGAGACCGAUAGCGCACAAGUAGAGUGAUCGAAAGAUGAAAAGCACUUUGGAAAGAGAGUUAAAAAGUACGUGAAAUUGUUGAAAGGGAAGCGCUUGCAACCAGACCUGCCCGCAGUCGCUCAUCCAGGCUCUUGCCUGGUGCACUCUUCUGCGGUCAGGCCAGCAUCAGUUCUGGCGGUCGGAUAAAGGCGGUGGGAAUGUGGCUCCUCUCGGGGAGUGUUAUAGCCCAUCGUGUAAUGCGGCCAGCCGGGACUGAGGUCCGCGCUUCGGCUAGGAUGCUGGCGUAAUGGUUGUAAGCGGCCCGUCUUGAAACACGGACCAAGGAGUCUAACAUCUGUGCGAGUGUUUGGGUGUCAAGCCCGAGCGCGUAAUGAAAGUGAACGGAGGCGGGAACCCUUUGGGUGCACCGUCGACCGAUCCUGAUGUCUUCGGAUGGAUUUGAGUAAGAGCAUAGCUGUUGGGACCCGAAAGAUGGUGAACUAUGCCUGAAUAGGGUGAAGCCAAAGGAAACUCUGGUGGAGGCUCGCAGCGGUUCUGACGUGCAAAUCGAUCGUCAAAUUUGGGCAUAGGGGCGAAAGACUUAUCGAACCAUCUAGUAGCUGGUUCCUGCCGAAGUUUCC